CUUGUCACCGCACAUGAAUAGUGCAAGUGAUAAUAGUUACCAUUACUGCCUACUCAUUUGGCAGCCUGUUUUGUUCAGUUAAAACAAUUCCAAUUAUUAGCAGCACGAUAAAAUUGUCUGCUGAGUGCCUUCCCUCCUGCUUUACAUGGUUGACUCAGGAACUACUGGCAGGACUCAGUCUGUGCCUUGCCAACACCUUCAACCUAAACCUUUGCCUUCUGAGAGAACAGAAAGAACAGACCUGUUUGUUUCUGGUCUAGGAAUGGUCUCUUCUCCUACCUCAGGCAAGUUCAUCUCUAAUUACCCAAAACUAUCAAUCUCCAUUUCUAAAUACUUCUAUGUCAAUUACCCUCAGCAAACUGUUCUCCAAACCCAACCUCAUUGUACUGAAGGCUGGAUAUGUUCUUCUAACUUCAUGUUGUGUUUGCUCUCAUGGCAAUAUUACCCUUCAGCUAAAAUAUUAUUUUCCCUUUUCUGUUUUUUGCUUCAACUGUAAGUUUUUUGACAUAUUCCUUCUCUGCCAAAGCUCUUACUUUGGCAAACUCAGUCAUUCAUCAACCUCUUUGCAGUUGUAUGGUCACUUAAGAAUGGAUUGACACAACAGAACUGCUGCUAUUUUGCAUCCUCUUCUUUCAGAAUUCUGCUGUGGUGAUUGUUUGGUCCAAAAGACUAAAUAAGCUCCUUAACAAUUUUCCUAACCUGAUUCCCCUUAGCCAUUCUGUCUCUUGUUCUAUGUUCCACAUCAUCUCCUCUGACUGAAACGAGGCACAGAUUAUCUACCCAGUUUUUGGACUGUACCCAGAUUAUCUUUAAUCUCUGUCCUCCCUGCAUAGUAACUCCAUCCUCCUCCCAGUUUACUUUAAUAUCCUUUGCCAAGUCUAAUUUUCACCUUAAGUCUGCAUUUGUUAAUUUCUAACACACAGCUUAAUUUGAUGCUCAGAACUUUUCUUGUUGGUUCUUCAUACCUAACAUCUGUUUUCGUUGCCACUGUUCAUCCUACUGGGCAAGCCUAUUUACACAUUUAAAAGAGCAAUCAGAGAUUCAAACAAUGCAAAAGCACAUUUCCUAAAUGUGAUACUGCACUGUGCUUCACAGCUUCCAGGUCAGGUUAUUCUAGCAGCUUGUUUUUGUUGUCCUAAAGAAAACUCUCAUUAGACAGAUGCAACAUUCCCUUGCUUACUUAGCAUUGCUUAGUAUGUACCAUUUUCUAUGUGCCUUUCAAGCUAUAUUCUGGGUGAAAUACCCAUUUGUGUUCUAUAAAGAUUUAUGUGGCCUUAUGUAGCUUCUAUAUUCACUCCUAAAUGAUGAUGAAAUGAAAUUUUUCUAUUUACUCCAUGGAUGACAUUUAUGGACUGAGCAAAAAUGAAUGUGAACUACUCCGGUAAUUCAGAAGAAAAACACAACAGUAGUGUUGGUUUCCUCAUGGUAGACAUAAUUUUUGAUAAGGUGGUGUAAAAUGAACACUAACCAGAAUUUCAGCAAUAAAUAAACUUUUACAACAAGGACA
rnacentral:lncRNA from 1 species